CAAUGUCUUACUCAAUGCUGACAGGCUGGAAAAACAAGAAUACACACCCUCAAAAAUGCACCAACCCAGAGCUGAGUAUUUUGGUUGUGCUGUGAGUUAAAGAGAACCACUGCCCUAAAGAACAACUCUAUCGACAACGAAAAAGCUGUGACGGUAGAACUGAAGAUGAUGUGAAGGAUUUUGUCUGGUUCAUUUGGAGUGCAUUUGAAGGGUGAAAAAGAAGACAAAGAGGAAGCUUGAGAGUGUGAUUGAGGAUUUUAAUUCCAGCUAAUUCGAUUUCUUGAGAAAAAAAAAAAAAAAAGGAUAAAAAAGAAUAGCAUCCGCAAGGGCCUAAGAACAAUUCAAGAACAAUAACACACAUAAAAGUCUCUGGAAGCUAUAGCAGAGGUAAAGUGCACUGCUGUUUUAUCAUUUGGGCCUUUCCUAUAACCUUCUUCAUACACUGUGAGAGUUCAGAAAAAUCCAAAGCUUAAAACGUGCUUCCAUUGUUCUAUGCCUGUAAUGCUAUAGUAAAAAAGUAGUUAGCUAUCUGAGUACCAGUUUUUUAUGGUUAUGUGUUAUGUGAUUUCUGAGUCAUGGUACAAAAAUGGGACUAAACACUCGAGGAGGUGACCCACCUUGCAAAAUUGCAUUGCCUGUUUCAAAAUUGCGUCACAGUUGGAAAAAGAAACUACUAAGGCCAGUCAGAUUUGUGGCUAAUUGCCCUUGAAGGUUUUGGGUGUUCUUUUGGGGGUUUGCCAAGGCGCAGUAUAUGUCAGCAGCGUGCAGAUAGCAGCUCGAUGAUCCAUACACUAUCGACCCAUUUCCAUAUCAGUUAAUGACAAUGAAAGGGUGGCCUCAGAUAGUGUAACAUAAUUACUAUCGAUUGGUUAUUUUUGCCCGAGAGUCUGUCACGGCCUAUCUUCUUCACACUUUCCCACAGACUCGAGUCUGGAUACUAGCCAUGGAGGAGGAUUAUAUGAAGAGGAGCCACCCUGAUGUCAUAAUGCAGCAGCAUACCAGCAAUGUGGAUAAGGGCUACUCCGAGAGCAAGCGCGUCGAUUCGGGGCCAAACGGCUGCAUGCGGUGCUGCAUGAGUACCAAGAGGUGCCUGAUGAGCCCAGAAUGUGGCAGAGCGCUCAGCAUCGCUAACGUCAUCGCUAUGUGUGGCAUGUGUAUCCGCAUGUGGACGUGUAAGUUCAAACACAGUGAGCUAAUUUGCAUAAUCACAAUGACAUUUGUUGACAGUAACACCAAGUGCUGUAAAUUUCACAACUUCAGCUAAUUAAAUGUCACACAGUGUACACUUCUAUAAAAAUCAGGGGAUAUGCCUUUUUGGAAUCAAUUGUCCACAGUAACACUGCAAAAAGCAAUUACAGCACAGUUCAUCAGGAUGCUGGCAGCUAACUAAUAGUAUAGCUCUUGAGUUCUUUUGUGUUCUGAGUCAGAUAUGACUCAUCCAGGCCCUUCUUUGAGGACUCGGUGCUGUCAGUUGAAAAAUACAUUACAUUCAAUGCUAUUAACCUGUAUUUUUUUCUUCUUUUUUUUCGUUCAAUUCAUUGUCGUAAUGCCAAAAAAAACCCAACUAAAAUCUCAGGCUAGACUGCAUCUGACUGCCUAAAUGAACUCUUGCUCUUUCUUCAGGAGUCAUUUUCUUUAAUCUUCAUUUUCAAUUCUGAAGUCUGUCAUCCUGUCUGCCUGUUGUAAAGGGCAUCAUUUUCUUUUAUUUUCACAGAGAUUUCUGCUGCUUCUGAGUCAAGAACAGUUUGUCUCCUGGCGGCUGCCGUCCUGAACUAAAAACAAUAGGAGGCAUCAUGAAUUAUGGAAUCUCUACUAAGCAGCCAUUAUAACAUACCCGAUUUGACUCCACCCUAUUUUAUCACCUCAAUCAUUAAAUAAAUAUCUUUUGAGUCAUAUAUCUCUGACAACAGCAUAUCUGUAAGUAAACAUAUUAUUAAACAGGAGAAAGGGUAAUGAAAAUGUAACGUAUUAAAAAAAGACUCUCUGAAUAGAUUAAUAACGCAUUGAUUUUUCAUGUAAAAAUAGUGUCAUGGAUUUUCCAUGGAUGGCAUCUUAGGUGUCUGUUUUUCCUCAGCUGCUACUGUAUGUCCUGGAAUGUGUAGCAGUGAGACGUGACCGAGUGCCUGCAGGUGAACAAUCAGAAAAUCCUAGACCUUGAUUUUUACACUCCACUACUUUGCGCCUCAACAAAAACCCUGGGUAUUAGAUACUUUUAGCUCAGAACAAGGCUGUGAAAAUUGACUUUUCUACUACAUUCUGCUACAGAUUAUUCUGCGCCUCUUUACGAUUGUCAUCUGCAGCUGAAGUAAUUCAAUUAAAAAGACUGGUGGUACUGGAGGCCAUAUUGUUGACAAUUUUGUAAUGUUUUUCUUAAUUGCUUUAAAUCACUUAAGUAAUUUAAUCAUUUGAAGUGUCUUUCCCCACAAUUGUAAUGCUUUUCAUUUGCAUAUGAGUAAUGGAGAACAGUUGCCUUCUUGGUAUUCUCAACACGUAACCUUACGUAUUCUAUUAUCCUCAGAACCGAUUAGAAAUUACUAUCAGUUUCGGUGAACUAAAACACUUGUCAUUUUUCGAAAUGUUUGUAUGUAGCCCGAGCAAAAUUUCACCAAAAAAAAAAGGUGACAUCUCUGACUUUGAUUUACCGCUCUCUGUUCUUAAAAAUACAAAGAAAACAUGAUACAUAUCUUUGUCUUAUCUGCAGUUUUUGAAUUAUGUACUGUACAUGCAAGCAAAACAGCCGCAUGAUAAACGUAUUCAGGUUAAGUUCACACAGUCUCUGCCUAGUUGAUCUAGCAAGGUAUUGAAGGACAAAGCAUGAAAGUCACCCAAAAUUGUGAUGAAAUACCAGUAGCUAAUAUAAGAGCAUUUAUAUCAUGGUCUGUCUGAAUACUCGAGUCUGAUUGGCUGGAAAGUGUGCGUUCAACCCGUAUAAUGAACCGGUGGUACCAUUCAGUUUAAUCACCGUUCUAAAUGAAUGCGUAGCCUAUAAACAACUGUGACCAUAGUAACAUACAGUUACUGUACACUUGCAUACAGAGAGAGACAGCUAUUUAAUGGGGAGAAUUCAGUUAUUUUCGUAAUGGUGUUCACAGCACCAUUAUUAGUAGAGAUGCAGGUAAUUCACACACGCACCAUCUUUCUCUCUCGCUCUCUCGGUCUCUCUCUAAUAACUAUUUGUUAUAAUUCAUUCAAAAUAAAUGUAAUUUUAUCAUGCUACUUUAUCGCUGUGUGUGAUUUCGAGAAUGCAGUCAGUACAGAAUUUCACAGGUUUUUUUUUUAAUGAUUGUUGUGGCCAAAAAUGCUUGAUUUUGCUGCGCUUUUG
ensembl:lncRNA